UUUUGUCAUAUCCUGUUGUGUGUUGGUGAGUGCAUGGCCUCGACGUUGAUCCCGUUCCAAGAUUUUUAUUCCGUAACACCGCAGUCUUUCACAUAUGUAAUAUUACCCCGAUAUAAUAUUCGUGAUGGUGUCCUGUAAAAGGCCAUGGAUUUGAUGAAAACGAAUAUGUGUGCACGUGGGAGGAAUAUGAGUUCCUAGACUUGUCAGAUGUAAAAGAAGCGGAACUGAGCAGUCUGCAGUGUGCACUCUUCGAGAGGAAGCCCGAGAGCUGUGUGCCCACCACAAUCAUACAGGGGUGGACUGAACCCAGCGCAGAGUUGUCAUCGUGUUCAUCGAGCACAGCGGGGCCACCGACCGUGUC